rnacentral:rRNA from 1 species
AUUGAACGCUGGCGGCAGGCCUAACACAUGCAAGUCGAGCGGGGUUUUCGGACCUAGCGGCGGACGGGUGAGUAAUGCGUAGGAAGCUACCCGAUAGAGGGGGAUACCAGUUGGAAACGACUGUUAAUACCGCAUAAUGUCUACGGACCAAAGUGUGGGACCUUCGGGCCACAUGCUAUCGGAUGCGCCUACGUGGGAUUAGCUAGUUGGUGAGGUAAUGGCUCACCAAGGCGACGAUCCCUAGCUGGGUUGAGAGGAUGAUCAGCCACACUGGAACUGAGACACGGUCCAGACUCCUACGGGAGGCAGCAGUGGGGAAUAUUGGACAAUGGGCGCAAGCCUGAUCCAGCCAUGCCGCGUGUGUGAAGAAGGCCUUCGGGUUGUGAAGCACUUUCAGUAGGGAGGAAGCGUUGUGUGUUAAUAGUACACAGCGUUGACGUUACCUACAGAAGAAGCACCGGCUAACUCUGUGCCAGCCGCCGCAGUAACAC